rnacentral:rRNA from 1 species
AACGCGAAGAACCUUACCUGGAUUUGACAUCCUCGGACAACCCUAGAGAUAGGGCUUCUUACGCAAGUAAGCCGAGAGACAGGUGCUGCAUGGCUGUCGUCAGCUCGUGUGGUGACAUGUUGGGUUAAGUCCCGCAACGAGCGCAACCCUUGUCCUUAGUUGCCAGCAUUAAGUUGGGCUCUCUAAGGAGACUGCCGUGGUGAACACGGAGGAAGGUGGGGAUGACGUCAAGUCCUCAUGGCCUUUAUAUCCAGGGCGACACACGUGAUACAAUGGGCGUUACAGAGGGAAGCAAGGUGGUGACACUAAGCAAAUCUCAAAAAGACGCUCUCAGUUCGGAUUGGAGUCUGCAACUCGACUCCAUGAAGUUGGAAUCGCUAGUAAUCGCGGAUCAGCACGCCGCGGUGAAUACGUUCCCGGGCCUUGUACACACCGACGCGUA